AUCUGCUGGUCCGCGCCGAAACGCCGGGCGGGCUCCGGCACACACGGACACGGACACGGGCAUCGCGCCCCGCGGGAGCCGCGGCGGGGACGGGUCUCCCGGCGGCGGCAGAACCCGCCGCUUGCGAAGUUUCACGCAGAGCUCCGGGGAGAGGCUUUCCGAGAGCGCCCGAACGAGAGUCUCGCAGCCCCUCGGGGCGGGUGCGCUGCAGGGCGAGCACUCACCGCUGCCCCUUUGGACACGGGCGAUGGCCCUGGUUUGGUCGUCCCUCCCAGGAGACUGCAGUGAAAAGAUCGGAAGGGGUCUGUGGUCAGCAGCGGGGAACCGAGGAACAAAUGAAGCAGGUGCAAAAAUAGGAUUCAUGUGAUUAAGACAAGAAGCGCUUCCGUGGGGAAAAGAACCCUGUCCGUCCUUCUGCCCCUCAGCUCCUGGGAGGCACCAGGCUCGUCACAUGCGUUGUCCGGAGCCAAUUGCUAAUCCAGUGUUGCUCACCGUGGGGACAUGUGGCUUGUAAUUUGGGAUUGAUCCAUAGCAGCAUCAGGAACUGCUCACGGCAGAGGGGCAAUGACUGGGGCUGUGCAGCGUAACUCAAAACUGACAGGUGAAGCAGUGGAAGAAGAUUUAGGCAUCACAGACUGGGUGCUCUUCCUGCUUCACUGCAGCGUGUCGUGUAACUGUGAAUAAAUUGGGACUUGUGAAGCAGUUUGCCUCAUAUGUGAAGAGGGCACAAAUUAGAAUCUCAGAAUAACUGAGGUUGGCAUGGACCUCUGGAGGACUCCUGGUCCAACCUGCUGCACAGUCCAGGGCAAACUCCAAAAUUGAAUCUAAAUUCACAGUAAAAUAAAGUUGCUCAGACCUAAGUGUCAGAAAAACAAGUUUGAAAGACCACUGAGGAAAGUACUGACGCCAGGUACAGGCACCUAACAGAAGAGAUCCGAGCUGGGUAAAACCAAGUUAAAAAUACAGAGAAGGUGUUACCAGGAGUAAGAAGGAAGAAAGUGAAAAAGCAAGGGACCGUGCCUAGUCUCAGUCUGGCCAACCACCAUAUAAGUGAACACGACGCUGCAGUGGAAGGGAUUUCCUGCAGAGUAAGGCAGCAUUUCAAUAUAUGGAAGAACAUUUCAAUUCUCCUUGAACUGCUGAGUAAGCCUUUUGCCACUGAGGAACUACUGAAAACAUAAUUGUCAGGCUCCUUCCACUGAAUUUUUCUUCUAUUUCCCACCUUAUCACAGAAAUUUCUAUCUUUGAAUACUGAAAUUGUAUGAAGAGUAAAGAAAGUCAUGAUGCUGCCUUUGAAUUACAAUUUGUAGCUAUGCUGAUUGCCACAGCAUUUGAUAAUCUGAAUUACCAUGUAGAAAACCUUAAAUAAUAAUUGCUUUUGUUUUGCAAUUGUAUUCUUCACUUAGUUCAUUUUCAUUGGUGGCAUGCAUUAUUAUUUCUUCUUUACUGACAAAAAUAAAUGAAGACCUUAUUUGA